rnacentral:rRNA from 1 species
UACGUAGGGUGCAAGCGUUGUCCGGAAUUAUUGGGCGUAAAGAGCGUGUAGGCGCCAGGUAGGUCCGCUGUGAAAACUCGAGGCUCAACCUCGAGAUGUCGGCGGAAACCAUCUGGCUAGAGUCCGGAAGAGGAGAGUGGAAUUCCUGGUGUAGCGGUGAAAUGCGCAGAUAUCAGGAAGAACACCGGUGGCGAAGGCGGGGUCUCUGGGGCAGUAACUGACGCUGAGGAGCGAAAAGCGUGGGGGAGCGAAACAGG